UACGUAGGGUGCGAGCGUUGUCCGGAAUUAUUGGGCGUAAAGGGCUCGUAGGCGGUUUGUCGCGUCGGGAGUGAAAACUCAGGGCUUAACCCUGAGCCUGCUUCCGAUACGGGCAGACUAGAGGUAUGCAGGGGAGAACGGAAUUCCUGGUGUAGCGGUGAAAUGCGCAGAUAUCAGGAGGAACACCAGCGGCGAAGGCGGCGCUCUGGGCCGGUACUGACACUGAGGAGCGAAAGCGUGGGUAGCAAACAGG
rnacentral:rRNA from 1 species